CGAACGCUGGCGGCGUGCUUACCACAUGCAAGUCGAACGGAAAGGCCCUGCUUUUGUGGGGUGCUCGAGUGGCGAACGGGUGAGUAACACGUGAGUAACCUGCCCUUCACUUUGGGAUAACUUCAGAAAACUGGGGCUAAUACCGGAUAGGAGCUCCUGCUGCAUGGUGGGGGUUGGAAAGUUUCGGCGGUUGGGGAUGGACUCGCGGCUUAUCAGCUUGUUGGUGGGGUAGUGGCUUACCAAGGCUUUGACGGGUAGCCGGCCUGAGAGGGUGACCGGCCACAUUGGGACUGAGAUACGGCCCAGACUCUUACGGGAGGCAGCAGUGGGGAAUAUUGCACAAUGGGCGGAAGCCUGAUGCAGCAACGCCGCGUGCGGGAUGACGGCCUUCGGGUUGUAAACCGCUUUCGCCUGUGACGAAGCGUGAGUGACGGUAAUGGGUAAAGAAGCACCGGCUAACUACAUG
rnacentral:rRNA from 1 species